UGUUUCUGAUAAAAGAUGAGAUGAAUAUAGUGUGCAGAGAUAGCAAGAUACAACAGUAGAACCGCAGUGAAAUUCUUCUGAAGUUUAAUUCUUAUUUUCUCUCUUUUACAGAUCAAGAAAGGGUACAGACAGAGAGUAUCAUCGUGCCACCUUGAUAAAAACCCAGACAAUCCCAAAGCUGAUCUGGAGGCGUGUGAGAAAUGGGCAGAGAUUCAUAAAUCACCCGCACCUUAGAAGAAGAGAUCACUCGUCUCUGGGAGGAGGUUUCCACUUCAGGAGCAACAGAGACUCAUAUGAGAACAGAACGAGAGUGAGAAAGAGGGGAGACAACACACACACAGGAGCUCAGGGCAACAGCGAUGUCACUCCUAAAUUGUAGCUGAAGUGGAAGUGUUAAAAAAGACGACGCCAGAAAUGCGGGUUAUUCUCAGGAAUGUCUUUAAAACCUCUUUCGAAAGACACAAUGAAGAAGAUCUGUGAAGUUUUCCAGCCGAUCAGAUGAUUAUUUUCUUUUAAAACCGGCAAAGUUGAAACUCUUGUUUUAGCGCAGCUGAGGGGUGGUGCUUCACUGCUGUCUGGGACACACCUCACCUUCGAAUGUGGAUGUCAUGACAUUUCCGACCAAAAAGUUAAGUUGAUGUAAAUUGGUGUUAAAAGUUUAAACGAGUUAAACUGACCCAGAAUUGCAUUCAAAAGUUAAAUGAUAUUUUACACAUUUUAUUCACUUACGAACUGCUGUAUACUAAACAUGAACAAGGAAAGGUGGGAGAUUGAAUAAAUGUUACGGCACAAAACUUUUUCUGUAUUUUUAUAAUGUUCACAGGCUGUCGGGGCUUCCGGUGAUUUCGAUUCAGAUUUGAAGAUCGAUUCACAAAAUGAAUCAUUCAGACCACUUUUUGAAUCGAUUUUAAAGAUUUGAAAUUGAACCAACUCAAACAAUGUAUUCGCAAAUCGGACACCACUAUUGCCAUGUUUGCGCCGUUUAGUCGCAAGAGUAAUGAAAGGUUCUGGAGAAAUGUAUCGGCGUAAAAGUAUUAAUUUCCUCUUUUAUACUCAAGUAAAGUACAAAUAUUACAAAAAUGUACUUACAGUAACAGAUUAUUUGUUCUUCGUUACGAUACACCUCAGGUCGUUAAUCACUGAAAAUUUCCGGCAUCGCUCUCAAAUCUCAUUUGCACCUCCAUGCAAUUCAGAAUAUUCAACAACGUGUCAUGUUAAGUUAUUAAACCUGGUGCAAUGUGUGAAUGCAUGGAUUAGAUUUGCACACUUUCAGUGCAGGGUAAGAUUUCAGCAAAUACACAACUCACCACGCGCCCCACCGAGAGCGAGAAUCACAUUAUAGCGACCACGAGGAGGUUACCCCAUGUGACUCUACCCUCCCUAGCAACCGGGCCAAUUUGGUUGCUAAGGAGACCUGGCUGGAGUCACUCAGCACACCCUGGAUUCGAACUCACGACUCCAGGUGUGGUAGUCAGCGUCUUUACUUGCUGAGUUACCCAGGCCCCUAAGGUCUUAACUAUUACCAAAAUGCAGAAUGAGAUGUUUUUGUCUGCAAGUGUGAAGUUCAAAGCGGCGUUUAAUGCUGGCGUUGAUGCGAAUCAUAAACGCAGCUUCACAGUGGUUGUAGGAAAUCAGAGAGCCACAGUCUACUGGCUAAUUAAUAUUGUGGAGGAUAAGAGUUUAAGAGAUUAAAUGCCCACUGCAAAGAAUAUGCAUCCUAUGUGGGCACUAGUUCUUUCAAUAAGUCACACUCCCACUUAGACUUUGGGAGAAACGUUUAAUGUUUCUUGAACUGGUGCUAUUUUAGUGCAUUUCUAUCUUUAUAC